rnacentral:lncRNA from 1 species
UUUUUUUUAACUUUUUUUUUUUUUUUUUGCAGUACGCGGGCCUCUCACUGUUGUGGCCUCUCCCGUUGCAGAGCACAGGCUCAGGACGCGCAGGCUCAGCGGCCAUGGCUCAUGGGCCCAGCCGCUCCGCGGCAUGUGGGAUCUUCCCGGACCGGGGCACGAACCCGUGCCCCCUGCAUCGGCAGGCGGACUCUCAACCACUGCGCCACCAGGGAAGCCCUGGACUGAUUUUUUUGAAGUCAAGCCAGUUUGUUUCACUAAAAGCAAACAAGUCCAGAAAUCCACACACUGCCCUGCAUGGUGUGUCCCAAAUUCCAGCCUGGCCCUUGGACUUUGGCACCACAAGGGGUAUUUCUCGAAUGUUUCCACAUAAACAUCCUCAACUGAUAUAA